AGUGAACGCUGGCGGUAGGCCUAACACAUGCAAGUCGAACGGCAGCACAGUAAGAGCUUGCUCUUACGGGUGGCGAGUGGCGGACGGGUGAGGCAUACAUCGGAAUCUACUUUUUCGUGGGGGAUAACGUAGGGAAACUUACGCUAAUACCGCAUACGACCUACGGGUGAAAGCAGGGGAUCUUCGGACCUUGCGCGAUUGAAUGAGCCGAUGUCGGAUUAGCUAGUUGGCGGGGUAAAGGCCCAACAAGGCGACGAUCCGUAGCUGGUCUGAGAGGAUGGUCAGCCACACUGGAACUGAGACACGGUCCAGACUCCUACGGGAGGCAGCAGUGGGGAAUAUUGGACAAUGGGCGCAAGCCUGAUCCAGCCAUACCGCGUGAGUGAAGAAGGCCUUCGGGUUGUAAAGCCCUUUUGUUGGGAAAGAAAAGCAGCAGGUUAAUACCCCGCUGUUCUGACGGUACCCAAAGAAUAAGCACCGGCUAACUUCGUG
rnacentral:rRNA from 1 species